GAGUUAGCUCAGUGGUAGAGCGCUUGCCUAGCAAGCGAAAGGCCCUGGGUUCGGUUCCCAGCUCA
rnacentral:tRNA from 1 species